UGUUUUGGUCAUCUUGCCUCUCUGGUC
rnacentral:piRNA from 1 species